rnacentral:rRNA from 1 species
UGGGGGAUAUUGCACAAUGGGCGAAAGCCUGAUGCAGCGACGCCGCGUGGGGGAUGAAGGCUUUCGGGUUGUAAACCUCUUUCGCUAUCGAACAAGGCCCGCUUAGGGUGGGUUGAGGGUAGGUGGAGAAGAAGCGCCGGCUAACUACGUGCCAGCAGCCGCGGUAAUACGUAGGGCGCGAGCGUUGUCCGGGAUUAUUGGGCGUAAAGGGCUUGUAGGCGGCUUGUUGCGCCUGCUGUGAAAACGCGGGGCUUAACUUCGCGCGUGCAGUGGGUACGGGCAGGCUUGAGUGUGGGAGGGGUGACUGGAAUUCCAGGUGUAGCGGUGGAAUGCGCAGAUAUCUGGAGGAACACCGAUGGCGAAGGCAGGUCACUGGGCCAUUACUGACGCUGAGGAGCGAAAGCAUGGGUAGCGAACAGG